rnacentral:rRNA from 1 species
UUANNUGACGUAGCUUGGAUCGCCUCCUUUGCAUCAGUUCGGGGUACACGAGCGGCGAACGGGUGAGUAACACGUGAGCAACCUGCCCCCGACUCCGGGAUAAGCGGUGGAAACGCCGUCUAAUACCGGAUACGACCCGUCACCUCAUGGUGUGCGGGUGGAAAGUUUUUUCGGUUGGGGAUGGGCUCGCGGCCUAUCAGCUUGUUGGUGGGGUAACGGCCCACCAAGGCGAUUACGGGUAGCCGGCCUGAGAGGGCGACCGGCCACACUGGGACUGAGACACGGCCCAGACUCCUACGGGAGGCAGCAGUGGGGAAUAUUGCACAAUGGGCGAAAGCCUGAUGCAGCGACGCCGCGUGGGGGAUGACGGCCUUCGGGUUGUAAACCUCUUUUACCACUAACGCAGGCUCCACGUUCUCGUGGGGUUGACGGUAAGUGGGGAAUAAGGACCGGCUAACUACGUGCCAGCAGCCGCGGUAAUACGUAGGGUCCGAGCGUUGUCCGGAAUUAUUGGGCGUAAAGAGCUCGUAGGCGGCAUGUCGCGUCUGCUGUGAAAGACCGGGGCUUAACUCCGGUUCUGCAGUGGAUACGGGCAUGCUAGAGGUAGGUAGGGGAGACUGGAAUUCCUGGUGUAGCGGUGAAAUGCGCAGAUAUCAGGAGGAACACCGGUGGCGAAGGCGGGUCUCUGGGCCUUACCUGACGCUGAGGAGCGAAAGCAUGGGUAGCGAACAGGAUUAGAUACCCUGGUAGUCCAUGCCGUAAACGUUGGGCGCUAGGUGUGGGGGACUUUCCACGGUUUCCGCGCCGUAGCUAACGCAUUAAGCGCCCCGCCUGGGGAGUACGGCCGCAAGGCUAAAACUCAAAGGAAUUGACGGGGGCCCGCACAAGCGGCGGAGCAUGUUGCUUAAUUCGACGCAACGCGAGAACUUACCAAGGUUUACAUCAC